GGGUGUUCGAUUUCGUGAGUAGUAAUGCAGAAGGUGGAUUGUUGAAGAGAGAAAUGGUUCUCCGGUUUGAUCGUUUUCUAAAUCUAGGCAACGAUAUGUCCCAGCCAAGCAUUGGCAAGAAGCCGCCAGUGAGAGAAUUGAUGAAGAGAACUGGUGCAACAAAGCAGCCGGAAUGGAGCUCCAUUACCGAACGGUUCCAAACUACAAUGCUUCAACUACUCUAUGAAGCUAUUAUGAUCAUACACAUUGGGUUUGGAUUAGACCUGAUGCUCGUAUUGUGAUUCAUCGCACACCCAAUUAUUUUGCUUCUUUGCCAUUUUUAAAUUGAGAUUGGCUUAAAACAUUUUAGUACCAAAUGUAAUUGAAAAUUCAGAUGGACGUCGAGGAUUAGCAGGUAGGAGGAAACCCUAUUUAAAGCAAGUUCUGGCCACCCCAAUCUUAUAGGCCUUUAUCGCAGGAGCUUUUUUAAGUCAUGUUUUCUAUGAGAGUGAAACAACAAUUACAAAGCUGGUAAGCGACAAUUUCACCUUACUUUUCAAUCAAAAUCAUCACUAUAACUGAAUUUCACAAGGAAAAAUUGCCGAGUACAUUCCUGCUGAACUAUAAUUUAUCACUAGUUUUCAAUACAAAAUUGUGGAUACACUGGCUGUUGACCAUCCAGGAUCGACAAGUCA